rnacentral:rRNA from 1 species
GAUGAACGCUGGCGGCGUGCCUAAUACAUGCAAGUCGAGCGAACGGACGAGAAGCUUGCUUUUCUGAUGUUAGCGGCGGACGGGUGAGUAACACGUGGAUAACCUACCUAUAAGACUGGGAUAACUUCGGGAAACCGGAGCUAAUACCGGAUAAUAUUUUGAACCGCAUGGUUCAAAAGUGAGAGACGGUCUUGCUGUCACUUAUAGAUGGAUCCGCGCUGCAUUAGCUAGUUGGUAAGGUAACGGCUUACCAAGGCAACGAUGCAUAGCCGACCUGAGAGGGUGAGCGGCCACACUGGAACUGAGACACGGUCCAGACUCCUACGGGAGGCAGCAGUAGGGAAUCUUCCGCAAUGGGCGAAAGCCUGACGGAGCAACGCCGCGUGAGUGAUGAAGGUCUUCGGAUCGUAAAACUCUGUUAUUAGGGAAGAACAUAUGUGUAAGUAACUGUGCACAUCUUGACGGUACCUAAUCAGAAAGCCACGGCUAACUACGUG